ensembl:snoRNA
UGGAUUGAUGAUAAUAUCUGGUCAUCAAUAUGAGUGAUUUACAGUGAAUACUUGUCUGGAAUUCUGAGGUCUGA